AGCUGCUUGGCGCAGCGGAAGCGCGCCGGGCUCAUAACCCGGAGGACCUCGGAUCGUGAGUUUGAAUCCAAUUCGGUCC